GUGUGACUGCGUACCUUUUGUAUAAUGGGUCAGCGACUUAUAUUCUGUAGCAAGGUUAACCGAAUAGGGGAGCCGAAGGGAAACCGAGUCUUAACUGGGCGUUAAGUUGCAGGGUAUAGACCCGAAACCCGGUGAUCUAGCCAUGGGCAGGUUGAAGGUUGGGUAACACUAACUGGAGGACCGAACCGACUAAUGUUGAAAAAUUAGCGGAUGACUUGUGGCUGGGGGUGAAAGGCCAAUCAAACCGGGAGAUAGCUGGUUCUCCCCGAAAGCUAUUUAGGUAGCGCCUCGUGAAUUCAUCUCCGGGGGUAGAGCACUGUUUCGGCAAGGGGGUCAUCCCGACUUACCAACCCGAUGCAAACUGCGAAUACCGGAGAAUGUUAUCACGGGAGACACACGGCGGGUGCUAACGUCCGUCGUGAAGAGGGAAACAACCCAGACCGCCAGCUAAGGUCCCAAAGUCAUGGUUAAGUGGGAAACGAUGUGGGAAGGCCCAGACAGCCAGGAUGUUGGCUUAGAAGCAGCCAUCAUUUAAAGAAAGCGUAAUAGCUCACUGGUCGAGUCGGCCUGCGCGGAAGAUGUAACGGGGCUAAACCAUGCACCGAAGCUGCGGCAGCGACGCUUAUGCGUUGUUGGGUAGGGGAGCGUUCUGUAAGCCUGCGAAGGUGUGCUGUGAGGCAUGCUGGAGGUAUCAGAAGUGCGAAUGCUGACAUAAGUAACGAUAAAGCGGGUGAAAAGCCCGCUCGCCGGAAGACCAAGGGUUCCUGUCCAACGUUAAUCGGGGCAGGGUGAGUCGACCCCUAAGGCGAGGCCGAAAGGCGUAGUCGAUGGGAAACAGGUUAAUAUUCCUGUACUUGGUGUUACUGCGAAGGGGGGACGGAGAAGGCUAUGUUGGCCGGGCGACGGUUGUCCCGGUUUAAGCGUGUAGGCUGGUUUUCCAGGCAAAUCCGGAAAAUCAAGGCUGAGGCGUGAUGACGAGGCACUACGGUGCUGAAGCAACAAAUGCCCUGCUUCCAGGAAAAGCCUCUAAGCAUCAGGUAACAUCAAAUCGUACCCCAAACCGACACAGGUGGUCAGGUAGAGAAUACCAAGGCGCUUGAGAGAACUCGGGUGAAGGAACUAGGCAAAAUGGUGCCGUAACUUCGGGAGAAGGCACGCUGAUAUGUAGGUGAAGUCCCUCGCGGAUGGAGCUGAAAUCAGUCGAAGAUACCAGCUGGCUGCAACUGUUUAUUAAAAACACAGCACUGUGCAAACACGAAAGUGGACGUAUACGGUGUGACGCCUGCCCGGUGCCGGAAGGUUAAUUGAUGGGGUUAGCGCAAGCGAAGCUCUUGAUCGAAGCCCCGGUAAACGGCGGCCGUAACUAUAACGGUCCUAAGGUAGCGAAAUUCCUUGUCGGGUAAGUUCCGACCUGCACGAAUGGCGUAAUGAUGGCCAGGCUGUCUCCACCCGAGACUCAGUGAAAUUGAACUCGCUGUGAAGAUGCAGUGUACCCGCGGCAAGACGGAAAGACCCCGUGAACCUUUACUAUAGCUUGACACUGAACAUUGAGCCUUGAUGUGUAGGAUAGGUGGGAGGCUUUGAAGUGUGGACGCCAGUCUGCAUGGAGCCGACCUUGAAAUACCACCCUUUAAUGUUUGAUGUUCUAACGUGGACCCGUAAUCCGGGUUGCGGACAGUGUCUGGUGGGUAGUUUGACUGGGGCGGUCUCCUCCUAAAGAGUAACGGAGGAGCACGAAGGUUGGCUAAUCCUGGUCGGACAUCAGGAGGUUAGUGCAAUGGCAUAAGCCAGCUUGACUGCGAGCGUGACGGCGCGAGCAGGUGCGAAAGCAGGUCAUAGUGAUCCGGUGGUUCUGAAUGGAAGGGCCAUCGCUCAACGGAUAAAAGGUACUCCGGGGAUAACAGGCUGAUACCGCCCAAGAGUUCAUAUCGACGGCGGUGUUUGGCACCUCGAUGUCGGCUCAUCACAUCCUGGGGCUGAAGUAGGUCCCAAGGGUAUGGCUGUUCGCCAUUUAAAGUGGUACGCGAGCUGGGUUUAGAACGUCGUGAGACAGUUCGGUCCCUAUCUGCCGUGGGCGCUGGAGAANNNUGAGGGGGGCUGCUCCUAGUACGAGAGGACCGGAGUGGACGCAUCACUGGUGUUCGGGUUGUCAUGCCAAUGGCACUGCCCGGUAGCUAAAUGCGGAAGAGAUAAGUGCUGAAAGCAUCUAAGCACGAAACUUGCCCCGAGAUGAGUUCUCCCUGACUCCUUGAGAGUCCUGAAGGAACGUUGAAGACGACGACGUUGAUAGGCCGGGUGUGUAAGCGCAGCGAUGCGUUGAGCUAACCGGUACUAAUGAACCGUGAGGCUUAACCUU
rnacentral:rRNA from 1 species